AACCAAGAGGAUGUAUGGGUAUUAUGCGGUUGGAACUAAUUGCACCCAUAUGGGCGAUAAAUGACAAAAUCGCACUGUUGCAACAUGCAAGAAACACGGAACAAAAGUUGUGUGCCGCGAAGCAGUACCUGCUGUACUGGCCUGCUAAUAGGAUAUAUGAAGUUAUUGCUACCUUCUACGGAUAUGCAAAAAUAAAAGGGAGUUUUAUCAAA